GAUGAACGCUGGCGGCGUGCCUAAUACAUGCAAGUCGAGCGAACGGACGAGAAGCUUGCUUCUCUGAUGUUAGCGGCGGACGGGUGAGUAACACGUGGAUAACCUACCUAUAAGACUGGGAUAACUUCGGGACACCGGAGCUAAUACCGGAUAAUAUUUUGAACCGCAUGGUUCAAAAGUGAAAGACGGUCUUGCUGUCACUUAUAGAUGGAUCCGCGCUGCAUUAGCUAGUUGGUAAGGUAACGGCUUACCAAGGCAACGAUGCAUAGCCGACCUGAGAGGGUGAUCGGCCACACUGGAACUGGGACACGGUCCAGACUCCUACGGGAGGCAGCAGUAGGGAAUCUUCCGCAAUGGGCGAAAGCCUGACGGAGCAACGCCGCGUGAGUGAUGAAGUUCUUCGGAUCGUAAGACUCUGUUAUUAGGGAAGAACAUAUGUGUAAGUAACUGUGCACAUCUUGACGGUACCUAAUCAGAAAGCCACGGCUAACUACGUG
rnacentral:rRNA from 1 species